UGAGUAACACGUGGGAACGUGCCUUUAGGUUCGGAAUAGCUCCUGGAAACGGGUGGUAAUGCCGAAUGUGCCCUUCGGGGGAAAGAUUUAUCGCCUUUAGAGCGGCCCGCGUCUGAUUAGCUUGUUGGUGAGGUAAUGGCUCACCAAGGCUACGAUCAGUAGCUGGUCUGAGAGGAUGACCAGCCACAUUGGGACUGAGGCACGGCCCAAACUCCUACGGGAGGCAGCAGUGGGGAAUCUUGCGCAAUGGGCGAAAGCCUGACGCAGCCAUGCCGCGUGUAUGAUGAAGGUCUUAGGAUUGUAAAAUACUUUCACCGGUGAAGAUAAUGACUGUAGCCGGAGAAGAAGCCCCGGCUAACUUCGUGCCAGCAGCCGCGGUAAUACGAAGGGGGCUAGCGUUGCUCGGAAUUACUGGGCGUAAAGGGAGCGUAGGCGGACAUUUAAGUCAGAGGUGAAAUCCCGGAGCUUAACUUCGGAACUGCCUUUGAUACUGGAUGUCUUGAGUGUGAGAGAGGUAUGUGGAACUCCGAGUGUAGAGGUGAAAUUCGUAGAUAUUCGGAAGAACACCAGUGGCGAAGGCGACAUACUGGCUCAUUACUGACGCUGAGGCUCAAAAGCGUGGGGAGCAAACAGGAUUAGAUACCCUGGUAGUCCACGCCGUAAACGAUGAUUGCUAGUUGUCGGGGAGUUUACUUCUCGGUGACGCAGCUAACGCAUUAAGCAAUCCGCCUGGGGAGUACGGUCGCAAGAUUAAAACUCAAAGGAAUUGACGG
rnacentral:rRNA from 1 species